GCAUUCUUUCUGGCGCAGAAUUUUGUCAAAAUCACCCCGUCUCUGAUCACGUUUCACAAGUUCUAAGCCACAGAAACGUAUAUCUUUUGAUAACCCACCAUGUUGUUCCUUUAGAUGUCUUGAAAUGGGGGUAUCAAGUCGAUUUUUAGGUGAUCUAACGUGUUCUUUAAUGCGUUCUUUAAAUGGACGAAAGGUUUUACCCACAUACAUCAACUUGCAACUACAGGUAAGCAGGUAUAUAACCC